CAACUGUACCUUAGCACGUAGCUAGUGUUAGAAUUUUCAAAGAGGUAGUACAUUGUAUUAUCAAAGGAGCGUAUUUCAUCAGUAAGACUUCUGCUACAGAAAGAGAAUAAAAAGUAACUAAACACAAUCCAGUCGUCAAUGAAAAUGUUGAAUAAGGCCGAGUACCUUUUUUUCGCAGCUGUAUUGCUGCAUUGUGUAAAAUUUGGUCAGCAAUCUUCACA